UACGGGGGGGGCAAGCGUUGUUCGGAAUUACUGGGCGUAAAGGGCUCGUAGGCGGCCAACUAAGUCAGACGUGAAAUCCCUCGGCUUAACCGGGGAACUGCGUCUGAUACUGGUUGGCUUGAAUCCGGGAGAGGGAUGUGGAAUUCCAGGUGUAGCGGUGAAAUGCGUAGAUAUCUGGAGGAACACCGGUGGCGAAGGCGGCAUCCUGGACCGGUAUUGACACUGAAAAGCGAAAGCCAGGGGAGCAAACGGG
rnacentral:rRNA from 1 species